GCAGUCCUCGCAGACUAAAUGAGCUCGUUUGUGUCAUUGAGAAACUCUCGGCGCUACAUCAUAAUUUUGUCAUAUCAGACGUAGAUGAAAACAAUCAACUGAAAGAUUGCGCAUGACGUGGGAUUGCCGUACAACCUGAAACCUGUGAGCGCAUUUCCUGCUACUUAACACAAAACAAUUUUUAGAGGGACGCUAAUCGGGAAAAGAUACACGCGACGUGACCGCCGCCCACCCCGUCCUGCCCUCGAUCCCCCCCCGAAGACCCCCAACAGCUUAAAAUGUCGGAUCCAGGAUCCAGGAAGUCGACGCCCAGAAACGACGAGCUGAAGAAAGUUGAAAACCAACAAGCGAAGUUCAGACCCCCAAAAAAGAAAAAAACCCAGAAGCAGGAAGUCCAGACCAGGAAACAGGAAGUUUGGCCUGUCAUUAAUCUGCCGUCGGUUGGAAAUGCGGCCUGGCGGCGCCGUUUCGAGCGCGUGCGCCGCAAAGUCACGUCUGGCUUCUAAAUGCGGGGACGUGAGGCGAGGUGCCACUUUCCCACGAUGCCUUGCUUGCGGGGGCCAGGAAGCAGGCGGGAGGGCGGACGCGCACGCAGGCACGCUGGUACGCAGGCACGCAGCGAGGAAGCUCCCGUGGCGGAGAUCGUGCGAGGUGGCCGUCGGAUGGGCCUAUACAGGAAGUUCUCCGCCGGGGGCCCGCUUCCCGUCGGCUCGGACUCGCCAGCACCACCUAUUGUGUGUGUCCAUAUUUCAAAAGACACACGCACACACUGGCUCACGUGUGGGUAUCCUGGACUGCCGACCCUUCACCCUUCAGGACCAAAAACUCCUGACAACAAGACGGACGGCGACGACGAUCUCGCCGACGUUUACGUGACGACCCCGAGCAGCUUUUUGACCCGGAGGCGGUCCAGAAGAAUUCCUCCGCCUCCCGCUCGGACGGACGAUGGUUGCGUUUCCUGUUUUCUUGCAAAAUCCUUCCUUGAUAAGACACCUGCAGAAACCUCGUCGGCCACUUUCAUUGUAUUGUGUUAUUCUGCUCUGUUAUGCUUUUAUUGACCUCACAUAUUAAUGUGAGCAACAUUCUGUUUGUUUUGAUCCGCAUCUCAAACAGCUCGGGAGAAAUCAUCUUAAAGGGGAAAUCCAGCGCUCUGC